rnacentral:rRNA from 1 species
AUUGAACGCUGGCGGCAUGCCUUACACAUGCAAGUCGAACGGUAACAGGUCUUCGGAUGCUGACGAGUGGCGCACGGGUGCGUAAUACAUCGGAACGUGCCCGAUCGUGGGGGAUAACGGAGCGAAAGCUUUGCUAAUACCGCAUACGAUCUACGGAUGAAAGCAGGGGACCGCAAGGCCUUGCGCGGACGGAGCGGCCGAUGGCAGAUUAGGUAGUUGGUGGGAUAAAAGCUUACCAUGCCGACGAUCUGUAGCUGGUCUGAGAGGACGACCAGCCACACUGGGACUGAGACACGGCCCAGACUCCUACGGGAGGCAGCAGUGGGGAAUUUUGGACAAUGGGCGAAAGCCUGAUCCAGCCAUGCCGCGUGCAGGAUGAAGGCCUUCGGGUUGUAAACUGCUUUUGUACGGAACGAAAAGACUCUUUCUAAUAAAGAGGGUCCAUGACGGUACCGUAAGAAUAAGCACCGGCUAACUACGUG